rnacentral:rRNA from 1 species
AGAGUUUGAUCAUGGCUCAGAACGUACGCUGGCGGCACGCCUAACACAUGCAAGUCGAACGAAGUAGCAAUACUUAGUGGCAGACGGGUGAGUAACAUGUAGGUAUCUGCCCUUUGGCCUGGAAUAACACGAGGAAACUUGUGCUAAUACCGGAUAAGUCUUUACGGAGAAAGCUUUAUGCACCAUUGGAUGAGCCUGCACUUGAUUAGUUUGUUGGUGGGGUAAUGGCCUACCAAGACUGUGAUCAAUAGCUGAUUUGAGAGGAUGAUCAGCCACAUUGGGACUGAGACACGGCCCAAACUCCUACGGGAGGCAGCAGUGGGGAAUCUUGCACAAUGGAGGAAACUCUGAUGCAGCGAUGCCGCGUGAGUGAAGAAGGCCUUUGGGUUGUAAAGCUCUUUCGUCGGGGAAGAAAAUGACUGUACCCGAAUAAGAAGGUCCGGCUAACUUCGUGCCAGCAGCCGCGGUAAUACGAAGGGACCUAGCGUAGUUCGGAAUUACUGGGCUUAAAGAGUUCGUAGGUGGUUGAAAAAGUUGGUGGUGAAAUCCCAGAGCUUAACUCUGGAACUGCCAUCAAAACUUUUCAGCUAGAGUAUGAUAGAGGAAAGCAGAAUUUCUAGUGUAGAGGUGAAAUUCGUAGAUAUUAGAAAGAAUACCAAUUGCGAAGGCAGCUUUCUGGAUCAUUACUGACACUGAGGAACGAAAGCAUGGGUAGCGAAGAGGAUUAGAUACCCUCGUAGUCCAUGCCGUAAACGAUGUGUGUUAGACGUUGGAAAUUUAUUUUCAGUGUCGCAGCGAAAGCGAUAAACACACCGCCUGGGGAGUACGACCGCAAGGUUAAAACUCAAAUGAAUUGACGGGGACCCGCACAAGUAGUGGAGCAUGUGGUUUAAUUCGAAGAUACGCGCAGAACCUUACCAACACUUGACAUGUUCGUCGCGACUCUAAGAGAUUAGAGUUUUCGGUUCGGCCGGACGAAACACAGGUGCUGCAUGGCUGUCGUCAGCUCGUGUCGUGAGAUGUUGGGUUAAGUCCCGCAACGAGCGCAACCCUCACUUUUAGUUGCCAUCAUUAAGUUGGGCACUCUGAAAGAACUGCCAGUGAUAAGCUGGAGGAAGGUGGGGAUGACGUCAAGUCCUCAUGGCCCUUACGUGUUGGGCUACACACGUGCUACAAUGGUAUCUACAACAGGAAGCAAGACUGCGAAGUUAAGCAAAUCCCUAAAAGAUACCUCAGUUCGGAUUGCACUCUGCAACUCGAGUGCAUGAAGCUGGAAUUACUAGUAAUCGUGGAUCAGCGUGCCACGGUGAAUGCGUUCCCGGGUCUUGUACACACCGCCCGUCACACCAUGGGAGUUGGUUCUACCUUAAGGCAAGGUUUUAAACCCUUGACCACGGUAUAGUCAGCGACUGGGGUGAAGUCGUAACAAGGUA